CCUCUGCCUGGCAGGGCUGGGAGGCAGGCCAGGCCCGGAGCCACACUCCCUAGCAAACACCACCUGGUCCAGGUCAUUCCCGCAGUACUGGUCCGGGCACUGCCCAGGGACCUUGCCUGGGCCGGGGGUGGAGCUGGUGGCUAAGGGCCCGAGCGCCAUCUCCAGUUGGAAACUUCCCUCAUCUUCUCCUGCUGGUGUCUGAGCGAUGGCUGCUGUGGUCAGCGGGAAAGGGUAUGGUUUCGGGUUUUUUCCCAAUGAGUCGGCUCUUCGAAUCAGGUGGCCAAAGUAUAUUGGAGCUUCAGCUUCAGCAUCAGUCCUUCCAAUGAAUAUUCAGGACUGAUUUCCUUUAGGACUGACUGGUUUGAUCUCCCUGAGUCCAAAGAACUCUCAAGAGUCUUCUCCAGCACCACAGUUCUUGUCUGCUCCUGGGAACCCGCGAGGCGGAAACGGAGUUUUUGCAGCUGGUUUCCAAGGUUGAUGAACAGCAGAAGACUUGGCGGUUAAGACAACAGGUCCAGAUUUCCGGUCCUCCAGGAGUCUUUCCAGAGAAACAGCACUCGCUAGAAGUGCCACCUGGGGGUCUUCCCGGUCAUGGCAGGUCCCGAACCAGCCCACGUCAGUCCUGCUAGUGCGCGACCUGGGGCAGGACCCCUGCCCCCUGCUCCGCACCCAGGAGUCCUUGGCUGGGAGCAUCACCCCUCACAGACCUGUCUUCAGAUUUAAUCGAGAUCGAAGAAACAGACUCUGGAAGAAACCAGGAAGGGGUGAAGCAAUCAGAAAGAAAGAAGAAGCCAGGCCAGCAGCAGUUUUUGCGAUAGCCAGCCUCAGCCUGACCCCGCCGGGGCUCCAGAGGGUGAGUCACAUGGCAGAGCUCGACAGUCCACGGCAGGGUAAUAUUGGGGUGAGUGGGGGACACCGAUCCAGAGUCACAAGAUGUUGGAACUGCCAAUCACGGCUUGUCAUUCUCCACUGGGUCCUGGUUGAAAAGCCAGCCCUGAAGGACAUGCUGGGGGCAACUGGGCAAAAUCUGGAAGUGGGCUGGGUAUCUGACGGUGUUAGGAGAUGGAUGCUAGCUUUGCUAGGUGAGCAGAUGGCAUGGUGAGCAUGUGGAAGGAUGGCUUUCUGGCGACGCGUGCUGCAGUAUUUAGGGUGGAAGGGUCCUGCUGUCUGCCAGACAAUCUAAAAUGGUUCAACACACCUCUCCAACUCUCAGAUGAGAAGAGGCUUAGGCAAAAAGAUUGUAAUUGUUGAGUUGAAGUUGUGGAUAUAUGGGAACCAUUCACUUUCAUUACUCAUUUUCUCAAUUUGAAAAACUUCAUAAUGAACGUUUGAAAGACUCCUCUGAGGGCAGAUAACCCUCAAGGCAAGUGUCUGCACGCGCUGAGGGCUCAGCCCGUGGGAACAGUCUCCACCUGAGUUACUGGUUGACCACAGGCCUGGCCGGGGGCUGACUGCCCGCUUCUUGCCCUGGAGUCCCCGGGCUGCACCUCAGGGGUCCCAAAGCCAGCACAUGAUUUCAGCCGGGCCCUCACAUACCCCGCGUGUCAAGGCCACACCUUGUUCCCACAACCUUUCAGCCGCCUGAACGUCCCAGGAUGUGGCUCAACAGACGGUAGCCGGUCAAUCAAAAUGUGUGGCCGGGUGAACGGAUGAGUGAGUGAGCAGCACAGAUCACGCGCUGAACGCCUUUCCGAUCUCUGAGACACACAGAGACCUGUGGCACGGCUCUUAGAUUCUGAGGAGCCCAGGAGUGGAGCUUGUUAUCUCAAACUUCUCAGAGUCCAUCGGGUCUGCUGCAGCCCAUCAUUGCCGACUGGCCUGCUUGCCUGCGUCACAGCCGCAGGGCUCUGUCUUUGGAGCAGAAUUCCCCAGGAGAUGUCUGCAGCAAGGCCAGGGGCUGCCCUGGCGAGGGAGAGGGUGGGGGAACAGGAAGCCUCAGCUGUGUGUCUGGUCUGGUACUAAUUAGCUGUGUGACCUUGGGCUAGUCACUUAACCUCUCUGGUCUGUUUACUUUUCUGUAAAUGGGGUGCCAGAUUGACUCAUCUUGAAGUUCCUUUGAGCACAAAAGUCCAUAGGGAGGGGAAGGCUCCAAGCCCAGUGCCUGGGAUAGGGCAGGCCUUGGAGGCACUUCAUAAAUGCCUGGAUUGUGUGAGACUCGGGGCGGACAUGGGUGGAUCUGCAGUCAGUGUUUAUUUCCAGCUUUGGAGUGGAACUGAGGCUGGCUCUUGGUCCUGCCACUAAUGGUGACCUCUAGUGGCUUGUUUCUCUGAGCCUCAGUUUACCCAUCUGUAGGACGGGUGUAUACCUCUGCAUGGGUGUUGCGAGUUCCCAAAGUGAUAACAAUUUAGUGUGUGUGUGUGUGUGUGUGUGAGAGAGAAAGAGAGAGAGAGAGAGAGAGAGAGAACAUGCGGAUAUGUGAGUUUUGAGUGUGUGUAAGUAUGCAUGUGAUGGGGGACAGUGGAGAAAAAAAUCUAAAACAUAAUCUUUUAAAAUUGGGGUGAAUUCACAUGUAUUUGAAAUGAAAUAUAAAUAUAAGUUUCACAUUUAUAGUGAAAUUCGCACAAUUAUUUUCAAGUGUGUAGUUCAGUGAUUAAUCUUUCAAAAGAACUUAGAAAUUAGGGAAAGAGUGAGAACCCACUGUCAGGACCUGUGCCAAAUGCUUUGCCCGCAUGUUGUCAUUCGAUCCUCACAACUCCAUGAGGGAGGAAGGGACUUGGCAGAGAAGGAAAUGAGAGCUCAGAGAGGUUGAGCAACUUUCCCAAGAGCACCCAGCCAGGAAGUACAGGGCAGGGUUCAACCCUAGGGGUCCCUGGUCCAGGCGCAGGAGGUGAUGAAGGGCCCACAGCCCCCUGGCCGUCCUUCUGACCUGACUCAGAAGCCCUGGGAAGGGCCGCAGGCAGGCUCGGGUGGGGGCCGGGAUGAUGGGCAGGGCGGCAGGGGCCCAGUUAAGUCACUUGACCUCAUCAUCCCUUCAUUUCCUGCUCUGCCUAAGAGGAAAUGUUUACACAGCGUCCCCACACAGACGCUGCACAGGCCUGGACUUGCAGUAAUUAGCUGAACAAUGAGGGUCCAGCGGCUAUUGAGUGGCCCAGGCACUGGCCUGGGGUCAGGCAGCCAGGGGCCUGGCUCCUCACUGAGAAACUCUCCUCGUGACCCUGGCCUGUCCCCACGCCACCCUGGGCCUACUUCUCCGCAUGGGAAAGGCAGCGGCAGGCGGGCCGGCCCCUAGGACCCCUGGAAGGCCCCACCAGUGGGUGAAGCACCUGGUAUAGUGAGGUAUAGGGGUAUAGGGAGGGAAGGAGGCAGGGGGCUGACGGGGCCCAUGUCAGGCUCUCUUCCAGAUCUGUGGCCCAGAAUGUUUGAUUUGAGGGUCCUCGAGGCAGCUCAGCAAGGCGUGGCAUCCCUCUGCGGUAUCCUUGCUUGGAGGACCCCAUGGACAGAGGAGCCUGGCGGGGUUGCGAAGAGUCAGACACGACUGCAGUGACUUAGCAGGCACACACAAGACAGUUCAGUGUCCAGCCUCCAUUUAUGAAAUAGCUUUUCCAAGUGGUUUGUUUGCUCACUCAUUAGUUAAUACACUAGUUAAUUAAUCAAGCAAAUACUUAUUAUGCAUCCAUGGCUAGUCAUCCUCUUCCAAAAACUGCCCCCCUUUCCCUAGAGCUCCUUAGGCGGCAUGCCUGGCCAGGGACUACAUUUCCCAGACUUCUCCGCACCACAGGGGUCAUGUGACUAGCUCUCACCAAUAAGAGCGAGCAGUGAAGAUGCUUCCCACUGAAGCGCUGGGAAGUGGGCCGUCCCACCGAGGGGGUGAGGGGCCUGUAUCUACUCAUGGGCUCUCACGUGCUGUUGGCUGCGGGCUGCUCUGAGGGGUGUUAACGCCUCCAGUUCACCUUGUUCUCAGGCUGCGGUCACAAGCCGAGGCCAGGAGUCUGCAAUCUGUGUCGCAGGGCAGCUCUGAUGGCUCUAGGAGGAGGCCCUCCUGGCCUGGCUUGCAGCUUUGCAAGGCUGCCGGCUCUCCCAGGUGUCACUUGACUGUGGCUGCAUUGCCCCGACCUCUGCCUCCAUCCUCACGUGGCUUCUCCACCCCCCCAUCCCAGGCCACUACCGUGGUGUCUUCAUGUGGCCUUCCCAUCAGGAUAGCAGUCGAUGCAUUUAGUGCCCAGUCUCACCUAGCAUAACUUCUUUGUAACUGACCACCUCAGCAGAGACCCGAUUUCCAAACGGACAAGCACGAUGGGAGGUGGCACCACGCAGAGUGGAGACCUUGGCGCCGGCAGUUGGAUGUUUUGAGCCCUGAAAUGGACGGUGCCAGCCGGCAUUCACUUAGACUGGGAACCAGAGCACGGGCUUUCAGCUGGGGGCUCCGUGGUCAGAGGGCCUGGCCCUGGCUUCGGGAUCUCCUGGGGCCAGGAUCUCAUUUCCUUCAAAAAGCCCUUGCUUUGGAGCAAACAGCAUCUCCUGUGAACGACUACGCUCUCUGCUCCCUCUGCCUGAUGCGCUUCCGAUGUGUCUCUGCCUGAGACACAUUGUUCACUGAGCUCCUCAAAGAAGACACACGGUGCGUCUACAGCUCCACCCACUCUGUGUGCCCUGGGGGCUUUAGCAUCUCAUGGGCCAGAUGGCAAGUCCAGGCUCCACUACUUGCUGGCUGUGUGUCCUUGGGCGACUUACAUAACCUAUCUGGGCCUUGGCUUCUGCUGUGGGUGUACUGUGAAGACUGAAUGAAAUCAUAUGUGAUAAUAUAUGUA
ensembl:lncRNA